UGAAAGAGAGCCAUCUGCUGGGAGCUCAGGUCGGGAUUUGAUUUAAGACGCCACAUCCUCUUGCUUCCCCACUCUUCCGGGGCAAAUGCCGAAGCAUGUUCGAGCAGCAGCCGGACUUGGACAAUAACAGUCAUCUGUCCUUGCACGCAGUAUAUGGGAGGCUGGUGCUGUGUGGGCCACCUUAAUUUACCACAGUGCCCUGAUGAAACUCUGGGAGCAGGGAUAGCCAUUGUUUAAUAAUGGAUCCUCAUCCAUCUUCAAACUCAUCUGAGCAUGAGAGCAUUCCGACGCUAAGAGGAAGAGCAUCAGCAGUGCCGGGUAGGGAAAGGGACAGAGAUUGCAUGGAUGCUAAUCUUUUUAUUUCUGAUUGGCCGAUAUCACACAUAAGAAUGCCCAGUAAGGCGAGCAUAUCGCUGCAUCUGUUUGUACUUGAGGGCAGCUGCUUUGACAGUAACCAGGCCUCGGGGGCUGUAAAUUGCAAUCUAAUCUCAAGUUAGCAUGGCUUGGAUAACCUGUACAGCUUUGUCCCCACGGAAACCCAAAGCUCGCUAUUCCAAUCAUGUGGUGUAAUUCAUCCUGCUUUGGGAUAACAGGCAAAACCUACUGAUUCUUCCCUGCAACUCUGAAGAGCCAGGGCUUCUGAAUGCUGUUCCACAUUGUGAGGUGGCUUUGUUUCCACAAACUACACUGCCUCAUAUCUCAACCCCUCUGCCAUUCAGACAGCUAAGCAGGCGGCACAAUAAAGAUGCUAAGGUAAAACCGUGUCUCUGGGUCCCUUGACAAGAGUGCCGACAAGCAUCAGUGAUUCACACCAAACCCCGGCGGAAUACACGAAGUCCAUUUCUCUCAAUAUCUUUUUGGUUCAUUUAAGGACUUCACUGCACUCGUCUGUAGGGGUCUUCAUAAAGCUCAGCAGCGCUACGAUUCCCAUUAGGAGAAUCAGCUCGGGAGGCGCUAGGCCUGUAAAACGAGAUCUUCAAAAAUCCUUCGCUCACUUCUCUCUCCUGAGUGACCGCGCUGCCGGCUCUGCUCCGAAUUGCGAAUGAGAUGAAAACUGGAAGUGAGAAUGUAGAGUUCUGCUUUAGGGACGAGUGUCUUCGGUUCUGUCCCUAAUCCAGCCCACCACAAGUUCACGUGUAGUAAAACCAAGCAUUUGAUCUGAUAGGCAUACGCCAUUGUCAUGGCACUGAUGUGGCCCGCUGUCCCCUGCUGGUCAGACAGGCCGGGUUAACUGGCCCCCAUUUACUGGCCUGUCAAUUAAGCUGUUGGGUGCCACUCUCUGCUUUUGUGUCCAACAGCAGACAGCCUUAAAAUCUGGCAUUAGUGCAUAUUUUGAACAUCUGUCCAACUCCCCCUCCCCCACCUCCCAUCUGUCCAGCUCUCUGUCUGUCUAUGUCUGUCUCGUUAUUGAGACACACUCAACAAGUAAAUGGUUUACAAUUUAAUGGCAAACAAUCUUCAUAAUAUAAGAACUAAAAUUAUAAAUUGUUUAUUUACCUGGAAACUUUGCCAAUUUUGAAUGGAUUUUAAAACAGGGAAACCAACUUCCUCUCCUUCCUCACUCCUGUGCUGUUCCAGCAAACUACAACAUGAGCACAAGUUCCUGCCCCUGGUAUGUAAUUGAAUGCUUGAACGCUCAAAAUUUGCUUAUGGCUUUAAAUUGUUAAUUAAAUAAAACUAGAGCUCAAAGAUUUCAUUAAUGAGCUCUUCCAUAAUAAUAGUAUGUAUGAAGUGAUCUGAGAAAAACUUUAAUUGUUUAAAAUCGCUUUUGUGCUUUAGCAGAAUAUUUAAUCAUUUGUGUUUGGCAUACAUAUUAUGCCAUUCCGAAGUUGCAUUAAAAGAUCAAAGUUUUGCAUUAGUUCUAUGAUUUCAGAA